UAAAGCUAUGUGGAUGCAUCUCAUUAUGUCUCGAACUAGUCCUGAGCUUCCCCUCAACAUAGGGUCUAUCAAAUUUCCAGGCGUUCCUUCGCGGGUUCGUCCAAGCCUGUCACAUUUUAAUUCUGAGUUUAAGCUCUACAUAUUGAUUAUGUAAAAGAAUUCAAUGUGUGAAGAUGGUCCCAACUAGUUUGGCAUUGAGGUAUAGUUGCUUAAUUAAAUUAUGUUACUUACAUGGCUCAGAAGGUCUUCCAUAGAUUCUCCAUUUUUGAAACAAGUGUUUCUUUGGCCACUUAAAAUUUCUAGGACUAAUACUCCAAAGCUAAAAACAUCUGACUUGACUGAAAAUUGUCCGUGCAUUGCAUAUUCUGGCGCCAUAUAUCCAC